UGUUAAUAUAAAAUAUUACCGCAGACAAGGGGCAUCUUUAUAAGUCCCCUCGAGGUAUAAAAAUAUAAAGCUUUUUUAUAUUUGUCUGCGGUUAAGCGCAGAUUUUUUUAUGCCCUUAA
rfam:Parcubacteria group bacterium CG1_02_39_15 cg1_0.2_scaffold_3029_c, whole genome shotgun sequence.